UACGUAGGGCGCGAGCGUUGUCCGGAAUCAUUGGGCGUAAAGAGCUCGUAGGCGGCUUGUUGCGUCAGCUGUGAAAACCCGCAGCUCAACUGUGGGCUUGCAGCUGAUACGGGCAGGCUUGAGUUCGGUAGGGGAGACUGGAAUUCCUGGUGUAGCGGUGAAAUGCGCAGAUAUCAGGAGGAACACCGGUGGCGAAGGCGGGUCUCUGGGCCGAUACUGACGCUGAGGAGCGAAAGCGUGGGGAGCGAACAGG
rnacentral:rRNA from 1 species